UUUUUGGCCCCUUUUGCCUCCCGUAGCCGCUAGCGCAACCCAGAAAACAGACGCAACGAGACGAACAAACACAAACGGACACACAGCGCAAUCUCCCAUGUGCACACGGUAGAUCGACUGGUGGAGUGAAGGUAAGUUAUGUGUGUUUGCAUGAAUACGUGGGUGUACAGCUCUGCCGCAGGCCAGUGAAGAACUCCUUUGUCACAGUCAGGUUUGAAAAACCCAUUGAACUGUUGGCUCUCAAUAUGUAGAACUACAUGAUUUCUGUUAUCAGUUAUCAAGUCAACACAAAUUUUUCAUUAUAUUACAACAUGAAAUAACUGAUCAGUGAAUCACAACUGCUAAAAUAUUAUCAAUUUUCUUUUAGUCUGUCUUAUUAUAACCCAGAGUUUGAGUAAACGGAGAGAAGCUAACAUGAGAAAUUAAGAAUCAAAGAGAACGAGUAGAGACCAACCACCACCACCACAGUGGAGACUUCUGAAAACUUGUAUUUUUAAUAAAACUAAGGCCGAUUAGUAUUACCUGGUGUAAAACUUUACUAGUAAAGGCAACAAAAAAAAAUGUAUGCUAAUAAAAAUAGAGCUGUUUAGUUUUGUACAACUCGAUUAGUUUAAUGCGAGGGGUUUACAUGCAAAUUUCAAGUAAAGUAAACUAUUUGGGAUACAGUUGUUACGUCCCGACCAGUCUAGGGUUGGUGGGAACAAUAACAAGUGUAAAAAAAAAAACAAAGAGAUUAACUCAAAUACUCAAUUUAGGGUUUUCCCCUUCUCCUGUCCCAACUCACAAUAAUCACAACGCUGAUCAAGUAGUAACAAUAUUUAUUAUUUAC